CCGGGCUCCUCCCCACGUGUCUGUGUGGAGCAGAGUCAACAUGGUACCGAUACCAUCAAACCCCACCUGCGUUAGCCAGAGUUAGACUACUGCUCUUCAACACACCGCAUUUCUGGACUGCCCUAACACGGAUGAGAUAGCUAAUAGUGUACAGUGAAGUGUGCAGGUUGGAUCUUUUAGAUCUGCUGCCGCUCCCCUCCUGUUUUAUCUCCUCUCCCUUCCUCGCUUUGCUCACAUCAAUAUGGCCAGCGGGGAUGAUGAUGACCCCAUUAUAGAGGAGAUUGAUGUGUACCUUGCCAAAAGCCUUGCAGAUAAACUGUAUCUUUUCCAGUACCCUGUCCGACCAUCCACCAUGACCUAUGAUGAUGUCGACCACUUAACGGCUAAGAUCAAACCCAAGCAGCAAAGGGUGGAGCUGGAAAUGGCAAUCAACACAAUGAGUCCAAACUACUGUCGCAGUAAGGGAGAGCAAAUAGCUCUGAAUGUGGAUGGCACAGCUUUUGACGAAACCAACACCUACUCAGCGAAAAUGAUGGACAAGCAAACCUUCUCCUCCAUCCAAGCCACCACCAACACCUCCAGAUACGCCGCUGCUGUGUUUCGUAAAGGCGAGCUUCACGUCACACCUCUGACGGGAAUCCUCCAGAUGAGACCCAGCUUCUCUUACCUGGACAAGGCUGACAACAAAACCAGAGAGAGGGAGGCAGCCAAUGAAGGUGGAGACUCCUCUCAGGAUGAAGCUGAGGAAGAAGCCAAGGCCAUCACGGUGAGGUUUGCUCGUCCUGAGUCGGAGCAAGCCCGACAGAGGAGGAUCCAAUCCUAUGAGUUCCUCCAGAGGAAGCAGGCAGAGGAGCCCUGGGUUCACUUGCACUACCACGGUGUCAAGGAUGGUCGCUCAGAGCAUGAAAGGCAGUACCUGUUCUGUCAGUCGGUGGAUGCCUCAGAGAACUCUGAAUUGGUUAAAACUCCUAAGGAGUACCUGGCGAUGCUAAUGCCCCCUCUUGCAGAGGAAAAAGUUGUGAAGCCUGUCGGUCCUAGUAAUGUGCUUUCCAUGGCUCAACUCCGCACUCUGCCGCUGGGAGAACAAGUCAAGACCCUGAUGAAGAAUGUCAAGGUGAUGCCAUUUGCUAACCUGAUGGGCCUCCUCGCCUCUGGCACAGACUCCACCUCAGUCUUGCGCUGCAUCCAGCAGGUGGCGCUGCUGGUUCAGGGGAACUGGGUUGUUAAGAGUGACGUUCUGUAUCCUAAAAACACCUUCAGUCCUCACAGUGGUGUCCCUGCUGAAGUGCUCUGUCGUGGCAGGGACUUUGUGAUGUGGAGGUUCACUCUGGAGCGCUCUGUGAUGAGAAAGGAGAUUGCAUCCAUCAUCAAACUUCCUCCGGAGGAUGUGAAGGAGUUCCUGGAGCAUGUGGCAACACCUCGGAUAAACCGGGGCUGGGAGUUCAUGUUGCCUACUGAUGUAGACUUCAUUAAGAAACACCCAGAUGUUGCCCACAGGCAGCAUAUGCUGUGGCUUGGCAUCCAGAGCAAGUUGGAAAAGGUCUUUAACUUUGUUAAAGAAGACUUCAUGCCAAAGAAUUCCCCUCAGUCUGAACCUGUCCACGUCAGCGGAGAGCAGCGUCUGAAGAUGGCUCAGGAGCGGGCGCAAGAAAACCAGUCGUCCCUACAGAAGGACCUGGACGCCAGAAGGGCAGGAAGCAGCAUCCACAUCAAACAGGAACCCUUAAGCGACAAGGAAUACGAGCCCAUGGACACUUCCUCUCCCCCUUGCUCCUCUUCCAUCCCCAAUGGUUCUGUAAACGGUUACCCUAGUGCCACCUCUCCUGGCUUCGAUCACACUAACGGUAACACACCUUCCCUGGAGUUGCAGGACUUUGUGAUAAAGACUUUCAGGAAGCAUUUUGUACUGACGCUGAAUGAGUUAAAGAGGCUGUUUAACCUCCAUUUGGCUUCCAUGCCGGCGGGACGGAAGGUCUUCCAUUCCAUCUCGGACCACAUGCUUCAGGACGCCAUGCUGCUCUGCAACUGCAAACAGAUAAUGGUGCCUUUUCCUGCUCAGAGCACAGCAGCCCCCGAUGAACAGAAAGUGUUUGGCUUGUGGGAAACUGGAGAGGACUUUGACAAGAAACCACAUGCAGCAUGUUUCAGUGUGGGCCACGAUUGGCUGGUUGUAUCACUGCAGCUCAACAUGGAGAAGAAAACAUCGUCGGCUGCUGUAUGACGUGUUCACCAAGAACUACCGGAUCCGGAGGAACAUCAUACAAACCAGACUGGCACAGGAGUUUGGAGACGCCUCUAAAGCUGACAUCGACCGGCUGCUCAAGGAGUGCUGCAUCAGCCAUGCAGGGAUGUGGUACCUCAAGGGAACGAUACAGUCCUGACACUGAGAUCCUGCCCCCCCUCUGCGGUCACCGUCAGCCAAUCAAAUCCUCUCCCGGGUGUCCAGUGGGAGGGCAGUCAGAGAGGGAUGAGAGAGCCAAUCACAGCUUGCCCAGCUCUGAGGGCGGGCGACUGGAGGACAAAGAUGUAAGUCGUCUGCUCUGCUCAGAACACGCAGCUUUUCUCGUUUCAACCGAAGCAUUUCUGACGUUAACGUGAGCACUCUGAUGCGACGCGAAGGAUACAAACUCCUCACAUACUCACACUGACAGCUGGAGAAUCAGAGGGGAAAAUAAUGAAUAUUUAAAAAAAAUGAAGAAAUAGCAAGAUACAUAUACGGUUUAUCAGCAGAUUUUUGAAUUUAUGACCUCAUGUUUGAUUGAACUUUUACCAGAACAGAGUGGCGUUUACUAUGGAAAGCAACUACGUCUCAGAGUGCUUUCAUUUUACUUAAUUAAAUGUUGCCAGAAAAAAAUGGUUUUACUUUGUUUAAGGCCUUUUGGGUUGAAAACCUUAAACCAUUAACUUCACGGAUUGUGUUAGAUCUGACUUGGUUAAGAAAUAUCAACUGAGAAGAGUAUUUAUUCUAUCCUCAAUACACAAAUGAAAGGGGUGAGCUUUAAGGAUGGAUAAUGUGAUUGUUUAAUUAAACCGUGUGAAAGCACUUGGGGAGAACGCAUGAAUCAACAAACCAGAAACAAAAGGGAAAAAGAAGAUACAAAAAGUCCUUAAAUGUCCUUAUUCUCAUGUUGCAAACUGAAAUCAUUCAAUGUUUUGGCAAUCAUGGACCUGGAAACUGCUACAUCAAAUGUGGCUCUUCCCACGUUUCUGUAUUAUUCAGUCAAAUAUAAAAUUUGGGUGAGCUAAAUGGCUGAUGUUGACAUUAGUUUUUCUUGGUUGAAUGUUCAGAGUUUCAAAUGGUUUUCCUUUUGUGAGAGAAACCAGUGACUGAUUUUGAUGAGAGCCUAUAACGACGUCAUUGGAAAUAAAGUUUUGUCAUGAAUCUGUUGGGAUUUAAUUUGUUGUACAAAGUGGAACAGAUGUGGAUGUGUCUAUGGACUGGACCAUCGUCUGGAUGAUGGGGAAAGUUGUUGCUAUGGAUACGCUGGUGUAUCGCCAUGUGCUGCUAUCUUGAGCCUCCAUCUAAAGUGCCUCUGCCUCACAAGGCAUUCAGGACAAACUCCCACCCACUCAUAUGAUGAAUUACAGGAACAAUGAUGCUUUUAGUUUCCUCUGAAACACUCAAAGAUAUUUAGACCUUAAAUAUGGAUAACAUGUUAUUCAUUUCAGGCUAAAUUUAGAAUUUCCUACAUCAGCAAAUAAUGACAGUUGAUUUUUUUUUCAUUGGUUUGUUACUUUGCUCAAUAAACAUCGUAAUGUCAA